rnacentral:rRNA from 1 species
CACGUAGGGGGCGAGCGUUGUCCGGAUUCAUUGGGCGUAAAGAGCUCGUAGGCGGCUCAGUAAGUCGGGUGUGAAACCCUCAGGCUCAACCUGGGGACGCCACUCGAUACUGCUGUGGCUAGAGUCCAGUAGAGGAGUGUGGAAUUCCCGGUGUAGCGGUGAAAUGCGCAGAUAUCGGGAGGAACACCAACGGCGAAGGCAGCACUCUGGGCUGGAACUGACGCUGAGGAGCGAAAGCG